rnacentral:rRNA from 1 species
GAUAAACGCUGGCGGCGUGCAUAACACAUUCAAGUCGAACGGACAAGGGACUUCGGUCCUGCGUUAGUGGCGGACGGGUGAGUAACGCGUGAGUAACCUGCCUUGGAGUGGGGAAUAACGUUUGGAAACGAACGUUAAUACCGCAUAACGCACGGACUUCGCAUGGAGACCGUGCCAAAGAUUUAUUGCUCCAAGAUGGACUCGCGUCUGAUUAGGUAGUUGGGGAGGUAACGGCCCACCAAGCCGACGAUCAGUAGCCGGACUGAGAGGUUGAACGGCCACAUUGGAACUGAGAUACGGUCCAGACUCCUACGGGAGGCAGCAGUGGGGAAUAUUGGGCAAUGGGCGAAAGCCUGACCCAGCGACGCCGCGUGAAGGAAGAAGGUCUUCGGAUUGUAAACUUCUGUCGACAGGGACGAAACAAAUGACGGUACCUGUUGAGAAAGCCACGGCUAACUACGUGCCAGCAGCCGCAGUAACAC